GGUUAAGCGACUAAGCGUACACGGUGGAUGCCCUGGCAGUCAGAGGCGAUGAAGGACGUGCUAAUCUGCGAUAAGCGUCGGUAAGGUGAUAUGAACCGUUAUAACCGGCGAUUUCCGAAUGGGGAAACCCAGUGUGAUUCGUCACACUAUCAUUAACUGAAUCCAUAGGUUAAUGAGGCGAACCGGGGGAACUGAAACAUCUAAGUACCCCGAGGAAAAGAAAUCAACCGAGAUUCCCCCAGUAGCGGCGAGCGAACGGGGAGCAGCCCAGAGCCUGAAUCAGUGUGUGUGUUAGUGGAAGCGUCUGGAAAGGCGUGCGAUACAGGGUGACAGCCCCGUACACAAAAAUGCACAUACUGUGAGCUCGAUGAGUAGGGCGGGACACGUGGUAUCCUGUCUGAAUAUGGGGGGACCAUCCUCCAAGGCUAAAUACUCCUGACUGACCGAUAGUGAACCAGUACCGUGAGGGAAAGGCGAAAAGAACCCCGGCGAGGGGAGUGAAAAAGAACCUGAAACCGUGUACGUACAAGCAGUGGGAGCACGCUUAGGCGUGUGACUGCGUACCUUUUGUAUAAUGGGUCAGCGACUUAUAUUCUGUAGCAAGGUUAACCGAAUAGGGGAGCCGAAGGGAAACCGAGUCUUAACUGGGCGUUAAGUUGCAGGGUAUAGACCCGAAACCCGGUGAUCUAGCCAUGGGCAGGUUGAAGGUUGGGUAACACUAACUGGAGGACCGAACCGACUAAUGUUGAAAAAUUAGCGGAUGACUUGUGGC
rnacentral:rRNA from 1 species